GGUUAAGCGACUAAGCGUACACGGUGGAUGCCCUGGCAGUCAGAGGCGAUGAAGGACGUGCUAAUCUGCGAUAAGCGUCGGUAAGGUGAUAUGAACCGUUAUAACCGGCGAUUUCCGAAUGGGGAAACCCAGUGUGAUUCGUCACACUAUCAUUAACUGAAUCCAUAGGUUAAUGAGGCGAACCGGGGGAACUGAAACAUCUAAGUACCCCGAGGAAAAGAAAUCAACCGAGAUUCCCCCAGUAGCGGCGAGCGAACGGGGAGCAGCCCAGAGCCUGAAUCAGUGUGUGUGUUAGUGGAAGCGUCUGGAAAGGCGCGCGAUACAGGGUGACAGCCCCGUACACAAAAAUGCACAUGCUGUGAGCUCGAUGAGUAGGGCGGGACACGUGGUAUCCUGUCUGAAUAUGGGGGGACCAUCCUCCAAGGCUAAAUACUCCUGACUGACCGAUAGUGAACCAGUACCGUGAGGGAAAGGCGAAAAGAACCCCGGCGAGGGGAGUGAAAAAGAACCUGAAACCGUGUACGUACAAGCAGUGGGAGCACAGAGCAAUCUGUGUGACUGCGUACCUUUUGUAUAAUGGGUCAGCGACUUAUAUUCUGUAGCAAGGUUAACCGAAUAGGGGAGCCGAAGGGAAACCGAGUCUUAACUGGGCGUUAAGUUGCAGGGUAUAGACCCGAAACCCGGUGAUCUAGCCAUGGGCAGGUUGAAGGUUGGGUAACACUAACUGGAGGACCGAACCGACUAAUGUUGAAAAAUUAGCGGAUGACUUGUGGCUGGGGGUGAAAGGCCAAUCAAACCGGGAGAUAGCUGGUUCUCCCCGAAAGCUAUUUAGGUAGCGCCUCGUGAAUUCAUCUCCGGGGGUAGAGCACUGUUUCGGCAAGGGGGUCAUCCCGACUUACCAACCCGAUGCAAACUGCGAAUACCGGAGAAUGUUAUCACGGGAGACACACGGCGGGUGCUAACGUCCGUCGUGAAGAGGGAAACAACCCAGACCGCCAGCUAAGGUCCCAAAGUCAUGGUUAAGUGGGAAACGAUGUGGGAAGGCCCAGACAGCCAGGAUGUUGGCUUAGAAGCAGCCAUCAUUUAAAGAAAGCGUAAUAGCUCACUGGUCGAGUCGGCCUGCGCGGAAGAUGUAACGGGGCUAAACCAUGCACCGAAGCUGCGGCAGCGACGCUGAUGCGUUGUUGGGUAGGGGAGCGUUCUGUAAGCCUGCGAAGGUGUGCUGU
rnacentral:rRNA from 1 species